AUUGGACGCUGGCGGCAUGCUUUACACAUGCAAGUCGAACGGUAACAGGCCUUCGGGUGCUGACGAGUGGCGAACGGGUGAGUAAUGCAUCGGAACGUGCCCAGAGGUGGGGGAUAACGCAGCGAAAGCUGUGCUAAUACCGCAUGUGAUCUGAGGAUGAAAGCGGGGGACCAGGCAGCAAUGUUUGGCCUCGCGCCUUUGGAGCGGCCGAUGUCAGAUUAGGUAGUUGGUGGGGUAAAGGCCUACCAAGCCGACGAUCUGUAGCUGGUCUGAGAGGACGACCAGCCACACUGGGACUGAGACACGGCCCAGACUCCUACGGGAGGCAGCAGUGGGGAAUUUUGGACAAUGGGCGCAAGCCUGAUCCAGCAAUGCCGCGUGCGGGAAGAAGGCCUUCGGGUUGUAAACCGCUUUUGUACGGAACGAAAAGGCUCUGGCUAAUACCUGGGGCUGAUGACGGUACCGGAAGAAUAAGCACCGGCUAACUACGUG
rnacentral:rRNA from 1 species